rnacentral:rRNA from 1 species
UCGAGAAUUUUUCUCAAUGGGGGAAACCCUGAAGGAGCGACGCCGCGUGGAGGAUGAAGGUCUUCGGAUUGUAAACUCCUGUCAUUAGAGAACAAAACCCACUUAGUAACUGAUGUUGGGUUUGAUAGUAUCUGAAGAGGAAGAGACGGCUAACUCUGUGCCAGCAGCCGCGGUAAUACAGAGGUCUCAAGCGUUGUUCGGAUUCAUUGGGCGUAAAGGGUGCGCAGGCGGCGGGGCAAGUCGGACGUGAAAUCUCGGGGCUUAACCCCGAAACUGCGUUCGAUACUGCCUUGCUUGAGGACUGGAGAGGAGACUGGAAUUCCUGGUGUAGCAGUGAAAUGCGUAGAUAUCAGGAGGAACGCCAAUGGCGAAGGCAAGUCUCUGGACAGUUCCUGACGCUCAUGCACGAAGGCCAGGGGAGCAAACGGGAUUAGAUACCCCCGUAGUCC